rnacentral:rRNA from 1 species
UUCCAGACUCCUACGGGAGGCAGCAGUGGGGAAUAUUGCACAAUGGGGGGAACCCUGAUGCAGCAAUGCCGCGUGAAGGAUGAAGGUUUUCGGAUUGUAAACUUCUUUUGUACGGGACGAAGAAAGUGACGGUACCGUAAGAAUAAGCCACGGCUAACUACGUGCCAGCAGCCGCGGUAAUACGUAGGGAGCAAGCGUUGUCCGGAAUUACUGGGCGUAAAGGGCGCGUAGGUGGGCGCUUAAGUCAGGUGUGAAAACGCCGGGCUCAACCUGGAGACUGCACUUGAAACUGGGUGUCUUGAGGGCAGGAGAGGAAAGUGGAAUUCCUAGUGUAGCGGUGAAAUGCGUAGAUAUUAGGAGGAACACCAGUGGCGAAGGCGACUUUCUGGACUGUACCUGACGCUGAGGCGCGAAAGCGUGGGUAGCGAACGGGAUUAGAUACCCUGGUAA